UUCUCUCUCAUUUCUCAAAAUCCCCAAUUUCUAAAUCCCUAGCUUGGAAGAGAAACGACGACGCGACGCCUUCCCCUCGCCGUUCGCUGCUCCGGUCGGCGCCUCCCUUGCGCCGCCGGGAAAUCGAUCCCCUUCCCCUCUUUUCUCUAGAUCGUGAGGAUUUGGAAGCAGCGCAUCUCCCUUUGCCGUCCGGCGGUCACCGCCGCUGCUUCGCGACUAGCCGCCGCCUCAGAUCCCCUCGUCGCUGGUGUCGCCGUUGGAGAAGGAGAGGAAUCAUCGCCUCUCUCUCUCUGCACUCACGGCUCUGCCCCGCCAGCACCGCCGACCUCCUCCUAUCGCCGGCGCUCCAUCGCCGGCGUCGCCACUGUCGGUCUUUCUCAGAGCACAGCGCCUCUCAGCACCGACGCUGCCUCCUCCUUGCUCCUGCCACUGCUCCUGCACCAGCUUCAGCGCGGUGCUACGGAGUUCGUGCUACUUUCCUCGUCACUGCUCGAAGCUACCUCGGGUUCGAUCGCCGCCGGAAAGCCCCACGCACUAAGCUAAGCCCUCUAACUCCAUUAUCUAGUUUCUUUUUUUUUUUAGGCAGUAACUUUGUGAGAUUAUAAUUCUUGUAUGAUGGGUGAUCAAAACUGGAAAGGCUUGUCUAUGGUUUUUGUGUUGGGACUCUUGUGGGUUUGCUACUGAAUUUGAGCAUAAAGGCAGCCUAUUGUACUCUUGUUCCAUUUAUGUGCUAAAACUCUAAGAAUGCUACUGUUAUAAGAUUUCUAUAGCCAUAAUUCUAUGUUCUUGAGCCUUGCAUGAUGUUCGAAACAAAGGCAGAGUGUGUGCUUGAUAUAUUGAUUUGAUUCUUAAGUUGUGGUGCCUCUAUAUGAUGAUAUGUAAAAUUUGAUUGGGAGAAGGGGUGGAGGUGGAAUACCUCUUGAAGCAAUUACUGACUUGGUAUUUGUUGUUAGAGAUCAAGGCUUACCCUCCUCCUUUAGAAUUCCUAGUUGCAGUGACAAAGAAAGGGGGUGAAACUGAGUUCUUUUCUUUGAAUGAAGAGAGAUUCAUGGAGAUGAGGAAGGAGGGAGACAUGUUACCUAUGGGUGUGGGAGUUAUCUGUAAGACUCUGCAGAGACUCUUCUCCUAGCUGACUAGCUCCCUCACUCUCAACUUUCUAUGUUGCUGGAAAUUUUGAAGUAUGUGGAAGGGAGUUCAUAAGUGGUGUGGAGGGGUUUUUAUAGGCUGAUUUUGUGUACCUUAGGAGGAGUUAAUGAGGCUGAUCUCGUUUUGUUUUUAUGCCCAGCAUAUCUCUUGUUUUUGAUCCUCAAUGCAGCUUUCUACUUGAAACAUUUUGGUGUUACUUGGAGUACUAGGUGUUUGACUAAUUAAUUCAACUUGUUCUCACAUGCCCUCUUAGUACUUUAGUUCAUAAUUCUAUUUGUUUGCAAGCUGCAGGAGCAUGUUGGGUGCACCUAGGAGAAUUUGAAUGGCCGUCCAGCCUCUUUGUUUUCAUGCUGCAGAAAAUCUCUUACUUCCUUGAUCUCCACUACUUUUGAUUAAUGAACUUGGUGUUUAGCUUAGGACAAAAGGACUUCUCAUUUACUUAUUUUGGUUGAUUGUGUGACUAGGAAAGGCUACUUCGCAGGGCUGUUUUAGAGGGGAGUAAAAUGGCAUAUUUGACUUGCUAUUUUUGGAGGAAGAAACAACUUGGCUGCCACUUAGCUGUCUCGGAAAGUGGGCUCGCUGCCCUGGGCCCGGCGGCUGAUCAGAUACGGGCCGCGACUUUCGGCCCGAGAGAAGAGGCCCGAUGACAUUUGUUCCAUGCACAUUUUUUUGUUAGCUGUUCAUUUUAUUGUCUAUGUAACGCUAUUCGAAAAUUCUUUAUUUUCUACAACGUAUUUCCAUUUGUUUA